rnacentral:rRNA from 1 species
AACGAACGCUGGCGGCAUGCCUAACACAUGCAAGUCGAACGAGACCUUCGGGUCUAGUGGCGCACGGGUGCGUAACGCGUGGGAACCUGCCCUUAGGUUCGGAAUAACUCCCCGAAAGGGGUGCUAAUACCGGAUAAUGUCUUCGGACCAAAGAUUUAUCGCCUUUGGAUGGGCCCGCGUUGGAUUAGCUAGUUGGUAGGGUAAAAGCCUACCACGGCGACGAUCCAUAGCUGGGCUGAGAGGAUGAUCAGCCACACUGGGACUGAGACACGGCCCAGACUCCUACGGGAGGCAGCAGUGGGGAAUAUUGGACAAUGGGCGAAAGCCUGAUCCAGCAAUGCCGCGUGAGUGAUGAAGGCCUUAGGGUUGUAAAGCUCUUUUACCCGGGAUGAUAAUGACAGUACCGGGAGAAUAAGCUCCGGCUAACUCCGUG